AGGACUCUGACUAAUACAGUGUCCUUCCUGGAAAACACCCCCAUUUUACACAUGGAGCAGCAGCCUCCUUCCAACCCAGCUCACACUCAUCCUCCUCCUGGUAUCAGCAGCCUGAGUUUCUUCUGGGGACCUGCCCUUUCCCUGGUCUCAGUCCACAGGGUUCAUCCAGGGCUGACCCCACCUUAGGCUCCGGGAAAUGAUUUGGACCUGGCCAAAGACCAGCUUCCUCUGGCCACAGCCACAGUGCAGAGAUAGACAGGUGAGCCAGCUUGGCCAAUGGAAAUGCUGCUUUGCCUGUGGCUGGAACUUUCCAGAAGGAGACUGCUUCCUUGGCUGUACUGGGGGAUGGUCAGAGCUUGGCCCUAGGAUGUGUUUGUCAAGUGAACGAAUGAAUGAAUAAAUAAAUGAAUGAGAGCACCACCCUUGGAUCAGGCUGCCUUGAUUGGCACUGCAAAAUCUGUUCUGCCAAUGCCAAAUCCAGUCUCCCCAUCCUGGUAUCUGCACUGUAUGGAGUCCCUACCUGAGGCUGAUCUGUCACAUUCAAGUGCUUCUUUCAAAUACCAAAGCAAUUUCCACCCAGGAGAGAGAGUGAGUUUAAAGGAUUUUCCCAAAGUCACAUGGCUGAGGAAAGGCCUUGUGAGGACACAGCAGAGAGGAAGCUGUCCGCCAUAGAAGAGAGAGAUUUCACCAAAACCAAGCCUGGAGACACCUUGAUCCUGAACUUCUAGUUUCUACAACUGUGAUACAUUUCUGUUCUCUAAGCCACCCAGUCUGUGACAUUCUGUUAAAGCAACCCUAGGGAACUAUACACUAGAUAUAAAGGCAAUUUAUGCAAAUGUUGGUCACAUUUUUAUAUAUCAACAGUGAG
rnacentral:lncRNA from 13 species